UACGUAGGGUGCGAGCGUUAAUCGGAAUUACUGGGCGUAAAGGGCGCGUAGGCGGUCAGCACAAGUCAGUUGUGAAAUCUCCGGGCUUAACUCGGAAAGGUCAACUGAUACUGUGCGACUAGAGUGCAGAAGGGGCAACUGGAAUUCUCGGUGUAGCGGUGAAAUGCGUAGAUAUCGAGAGGAACACCUGCGGCGAAGGCGGGUUGCUGGGCUGACACUGACGCUGAUGCGCGAAAGCCAGGGGAGCGAAGCGGG
rnacentral:rRNA from 1 species